CGGAAAUGACUUUCAGCAUCUCAACCAUCUUCUUCCUAACCAAACAUGUGGAUGUAUUUGGCUCUGGAAUGUAUUUCUAUGGAUUUAAUGCAGAUGUAUAUCCAGGUUUUAGAAUGAUACACUUAAAAAAAUAAAGACACUACAAGUUGUUACUGUACUUUGAAGAAUCUGGACUCACCUGAAGCAGCUGGAAUAAGAAACAGAAGUCGGCAUCAGAGAAAGAAGUGGAUACUUGUUUAUGUAACUCAAGAUCCAAUCUUUGUUUGUUGGAGGAGGCUGGAACAAUCACAACAGUCUAUCCUGAUUCUCUUAUAAUGAGAGUUAGAUGAAGUUCUGGACGUCAAUCUGAGCUCAACCACCUUAAGGCCACAGCUGCCAUAGGGACAGAAGCAGGGUACACCCUGAAAAGGUUACAAGUCCAUCACAUAACCAGACAAUCAUCAUUCCUCCAUGCUGUGAAAAAGUAUUUUCUCCAGGCCAUCGCACUACCGCCACCAUGUUUGACUGCUGGUAUGAUGUUCUUUCUAUGAAAUGAUGGGUUAGUUUUACAUCAGCAGUGGCUUUCACUUUCAAACACUCCCAUUUUCGCAAAGUCUCUUCUUGUUGUUGAAUCAUGAACACUGAGCUUAACUGAAACAAGUGAAGCCUGCGGUUCUUUAGAUAUUGAUCUGGGUUCUUUUGUGACCGCUUGUAUGAGUUGUCAGUAAUAAAUUACCUGAAAAUUAAGUGUGACUGUUACGAACUUGUAUGUCCGUGUGUUUGUUUGUGCAGGUGCUGUGUUUUUGUCUAUGUUAAUUUAGCUGUGCCAGGGCCCUGUUCCGAUUGGUGCGUGGACUUACUGCCCCGGCGUGAUUGGAUCCAGCUGGAGGACCCGCCCAAUAAAAGGAGGCUGGAGUGCUACAGCGGGAGAGGUCCUCGCAUUUCUCCUCAUCACCCAGCAGUAGUCCUGUGGUAGCCGCUGGCUGCAGUAUACGCGCG
ensembl:lncRNA